AUGAACGCUAGCUACAGGCUUAACACAUGCAAGUCGCGGGGCAGCAUGGGGGUUGCUUGCAAUCCCCGAUGGCGACCGGCGCACGGGUGAGUAACGCGUAUCCAACCUGCCCUUCACCACGGGAUAACCCGGCGAAAGUCGGACUAAUACCGUAUGUUGUCCAUUGACGGCAUCCGAUUUGGACGAAAGGUUUGGCGGUGAAGGAUGGGGAUGCGUCCGAUUAGCUGGACGGCGGGGUGACGGCCCACCGUGGCGACGAUCGGUAGGGGUUCUGAGAGGAAGGUCCCCCACACUGGAACUGAGACACGGUCCAGACUCCUACGGGAGGCAGCAGUGAGGAAUAUUGGUCAAUGGGCGUAAGCCUGAACCAGCCAAGUAGCGUGCAGGAUGACGGCCCUAUGGGUUGUAAACUGCUUUUAUGCGGGGAUAAAGUGGCCCACGUGUGGGUUUUUGCAGGUACCGCAUGAAUAAGGACCGGCUAAUUCCGUG
rnacentral:rRNA from 1 species